AUUGAACGCUGGCGGCAUGCCUUACACAUGCAAGUCGAACGGCAGCACGGGAGCUUGCUCCUGGUGGCGAGUGGCGAACGGGUGAGUAAUACAUCGGAACGUACCCUGAAGUGGGGGAUAACGUAGCGAAAGUUACGCUAAUACCGCAUAUUCUGUGAGCAGGAAAGAGGGGGAUCGCAAGACCUCUUGCUUUAGGAGCGGCCGAUGUCGGAUUAGCUAGUUGGUGAGGUAAAGGCUCACCAAGGCGACGAUCCGUAGCGGGUCUGAGAGGAUGAUCCGCCACACUGGGACUGAGACACGGCCCAGACUCCUACGGGAGGCAGCAGUGGGGAAUUUUGGACAAUGGGGGCAACCCUGAUCCAGCCAUUCCGCGUGAGUGAAGAAGGCCUCGGGUUGUAAG
rnacentral:rRNA from 1 species